GCCAAUGUACCUGCCCUUCUACCUGCCAGUUUACCUAUUCCCGUACCACCGGGUACCUGGCAGGGUACCUGCCGGUUUGCCCACCCAUGUACCCACCGGUGUAACGACCAGCGAACUCCCACGAGUCUCCCGCGGUGCCUCUCAGGAAGGGCAGGCUCCACAGCCAUACCCCGCAGCCUGGACCACGUGCCUUCUUCCCUUGUCCAGCAGAGCCCCGCAGCCAGGGUGGAAAAGCCUGGUGGAGUCCAUUGAGUUUUCUCCUAAGAUCUUGAACUUUGGUGUGAAAUCUUGGCUUUACUUCGGUCACUGAAAAUCAGUCCAGUUGACUUCAGAGAGAUUCAGAAACGGACAUCCGCUGACUGGAUCUGCCUAGGGUGAAGAAGAACACACAACACUUAAAUACAAAGCUUCUUCCUCUAAGUAA